rnacentral:rRNA from 1 species
GUAGAGCACUGUUUGGACUAGGGGCCCUUCUCGGGUUACCGAAUUCAGAUAAACUCCGAAUGCCAUGUACUUAUACUCGGGAGUCAGACUGCGAGUGAUAAGAUCCGUAGUCGAAAGGGAAACAGCCCAGACCACCAGUUAAGGUCCCCAAAUAUAUGUUAAGUGGAAAAGGAUGUGGGGUUGCUUAGACAACCAGGAUGUUGGCUUAGAAGCAGCCACCAUUGAAAGAGUGCGUAAUAGCUCACUGGUCGAGUGACCCCGCGCCGAAAAUGUACCGGGGCUAAACAUAUUACCGAAACUGUGGAUGAACCUCUUUAGAGGUUCGUGGUAGGAGAGCGUUCUAAGGGCGGUGAAGUCAGACCGGAAGGACUGGUGGAGCGCUUAGAAGUGAGAAUGCCGGUAUGAGUAGCGAAAGAAGGGUGAGAAUCCCUUCCACCGAAUAUCUAAGGUUUCCUGAGGAAGGCUCGUCCGCUCAGGGUUAGUCGGGACCUAAGCCGAGGCCGAUAGGCGUAGGCGAUGGACAACAGGUAGAGAUUCCUGUACCAGUGCUAAUUGUUUAACCGAUGGGGUGACACAGAAGGAUAGGGAAUCGCACGAAUGGAAAUGUGCGUCCAAGCAGUGAGUGUGAGAAGUAGGCAAAUCCGCUUCUCGCGAAGCAUGAGCUGUGAUGGGGAAGGAAAUUAAGUACGGAAGUUCCUGAUUUCACGCUGUCAAGAAAAGCCUCUAGGAAGAGUAGUACUGCCCGUACCGCAAACCGACACAGGUAGAUGAGGAGAGAAUCCUAAGGUGAGCGAGAGAACUCUCGUUAAGGAACUCGGCAAAAUGACCCCGUAACUUCGGGAGAAGGGGUGCUCUAUUAGGGUGCAAGCCCGAGAGAGCCGCAGUGAAUAGGCCCAGGCGACUGUUUAGCAAAAACACAGGUCUCUGCAAAACCGUAAGGUGACGUAUAGGGGCUGACGCCUGCCCGGUGCUGGAAGGUUAAGAGGAGUGCUUAGCUUCGGCGAAGGUACGAAUUGAAGCCCCAGUAAACGGCGGCCGUAACUAUAACGGUCCUAAGGUAGCGAAAUUCCUUGUCGGGUAAGUUCCGACCCGCACGAAAGGCGCAACGAUCUGGGCACUGUCUCAACGAGAGACUCGGUGAAAUUAUAGUACCUGUGAAGAUGCAGGUUACCCGCGACAGGACGGAAAGACCCCGUGGAGCUUUACUGCAACCUGAUAUGGAAUGUUUGUACCGCUUGUACAGGAUAGGUAGGAGCCGAAGAGACGUGUGCGCUAGCAUACGAGGAGGCAAUGGUGGGAUACUACCCUGGCUGUAUGACCAUUCUAACCCGCCACGCUUAGCGCGUGGGGAGACAGUGUCAGGUGGGCAGUUUGACUGGGGCGGUCGCCUCCUAAAGAGUAACGGAGGCGCCCAAAGGUUCCCUCAGAAUGGAUGGAAAUCAUUCGCAGAGUGUAAAGGCACAAGGGAGCUUGACUGCGAGACUGACAAGUCGAGCAGGGACGAAAGUCGGGCUUAGUGAUCCGGUGGUUCCGCAUGGAAGGGCCAUCGCUCAACGGAUAAAAGCUACCCCGGGGAUAACAGGCUUAUCUCCCCCAAGAGUCCACAUCGACGGGGAGGUUUGGCACCUCGAUGUCGGCUCGUCGCAUCCUGGGGCUGUAGUCGGUCCCAAGGGUUGGGCUGUUCGCCCAUUAAAGCGGCACGCGAGCUGGGUUCAGAACGUCGUGAGACAGUUCGGUCCCUAUCCGUCGCGGGCGCAGGAAAUUUGAGAGGAGCUGUCCUUAGUACGAGAGGACCGGGAUGGACACACCGCUGGUGUACCAGUUGUUCCGCCAGGAGCAUCGCUGGGUAGCUAUGUGUGGCAGGGAUAAACGCUGAAAGCAUCUAAGCGUGAAGCCCCCCUCAAGAUGAGAUUUCCCAUUUCUUCGGAAAGUAAGAUCCCUGAAAGAUGAUCAGGUAGAUAGGU